rnacentral:rRNA from 1 species
GAUGAACGCUGGCGGCGUGCCUAAUACAUGCAAGUCGAGCGAACAGACGAGGAGCUUGCUCCUCUGACGUUAGCGGCGGACGGGUGAGUAACACGUGGAUAACCUACCUAUAAGACUGGGAUAACUUCGGGAAACCGGAGCUAUUACCGGAUAAUAUAUUGAACCGCAUGGUUAAAUAGUGAAAGACGGUUUUGCUGUCACUUAUAGAUGGAUCCGCGCCGCAUUAGCUAGUUGGUAAGGUAACGGCUUACCAAGGCAACGAUGCGUAGCCGACCUGAGAGGGUGAUCGGCCACACUGGAACUGAGACACGGUCCAGACUCCUACGGGAGGCAGCAGUAGGGAAUCUUCCGCAAUGGGCGAAAGCCUGACGGAGCAACGCCGCGUGAGUGAUGAAGGUCUUCGGAUCGUAAAACUCUGUUAUUAGGGAAGAACAAAUGUGUAAGUAACUAUGCACGUCUUGACGGUACCUAAUCAGAAAGCCACGGCUAACUACGUG